rnacentral:rRNA from 1 species
AUUGAACGCUGGCGGCAGGCCUAACACAUGCAAGUCGAACGAGCGGCGGACGGGUGAGUAAUGUCUGGGAAACUGCCUGAUGGAGGGGGAUAACUACUGGAAACGGUAGCUAAUACCGCAUACCAUCAGAUGUGCCCAGAUGGGAUUAGCUUGUUGGUGGGGUAACGGCUCACCCAGGCGACGAUCCCUAGCUGGGCUGAGAGGAUGACCAGCCACACUGGAACUGAGACACGGUCCAGACUCCUACGGGAGGCAGCAGUGGGGAAUAGUGCACAAUGGGCGCAAGCCUGAUGCAGCCAUGCCGCGUGUAUGAAGAAGGCCUUCGGGUUGGAAAGUACUUUCAGCGGGGAGGCGGUACUCGAAGAAUAAGCACCGGCUAACUCCGUGCCAGCAGCCGCGGUAAUAC